rnacentral:rRNA from 1 species
UGGGGAAUUUUGGACAAUGGGGGAAACCCUGAUCCAGCCAUGCCGCGUGCGGGGAAGAAGGCCUUCGGGUUGUAAACCGCUUUUGGCAGGAACGAAACGGCGCGCGCCAAUACCGCGCGCUAAUGACGGUACCUGCAGAAUAAGCACCGGCUAACUACGUGCCAGCAGCCGCGGUAAUACGUAGGGUGCAAGCGUUAAUCGGAAUUACUGGGCGUAAAGCGUACGCAGGCGGCUUUGCAAGACAGGUGUGAAAUCCCCGGGCCUAACCUGGGAACUGCAUUUGUGACUGCAUGGCUAGAGUCUGUCAGAGGGGGGUGGAAUUCCACGUGUAGCAGUGAAAUGCGUAGAGAUGUGGAAGAACACCGAUGGCGAAGGCAGCCCCCUGGGAUGAGACUGACGCUCAUGUACGAAAGCGUGGGGAGCAAACAGGAUUAGAUACCCUGGUAGUCCACGCCCUAAACGAUGUCUACUAGUUGUCGGAGGGUAACUCCUUCGGUAACGCAGCUAACGCGUGAAGUAGACCGCCUGGGGAGUACGGUCGCAAGAUUA